rnacentral:rRNA from 1 species
GACGAGCCACACAAACGUUAUUCGGAAUCACUGGGCUUAAAGGGUGCGUAGGCGGCGCGGAAAGUGGGGUGUGAAAGCCCUCGGCUCAACCGAGGAAUUGCGCUCCAAACUACCGUGCUUGAGUGAGACAGAGGUAAGCGGAACUUCGGGUGGAACGGGUGAAAUGUGUUGAUGAUCCGAAGGAACACCGGGUGGCGAAAAGCGGCUUACUGGGUCUCAAACUG